UCUAGAACUCGAGAUAUGGAUUGAACACUGAACAAUAUCUGGACUGCAGGAUGAUUUGAACUUCUCUUUUGUUGCUAAGAUGUGAACUUCAAAACAGAAGAAUUGAGUCUUUGACUCUUCAUGAAUGUUUUAGGCCUAUGUCUUAGCUUUCAAUC
rfam:Populus trichocarpa isolate Nisqually-1 chromosome 17, whole genome shotgun sequence.